GAUGAACGCUGGCGGCGUGCCUAAUACAUGCGAGUCGAGCGAACAGACGAGGAGCUUGCUCCUCUGACGUUAGCGGCGGACGGGUGAGUAACACAUGGAUAACCUACCUAUAAGACUGGGAUAACUUCGGGAAACCGGAGCUAAUACCGGAUAAUAUAUUGAACCGCAUGGUUCAAUAGUGAAAGACGGUUUUGCUGUCACUUAUAGAUGGAUCCGCGCCGCAUUAGCUAGUUGGUAAGGUAACGGCUUACCAAGGCAACGAUGCGUAGCCGACCUGAGAGGGUGAUCGGCCACACUGGAACUGAGACACGGUCCAGACUCCUACGGGAGGCAGCAGUAGGGAAUCUUCCGCAAUGGGCGAAAGCCUGACGGAGCAACGCCGCGUGAGUGAUGAAGGUCUUCGGAUCGUAAAACUCUGUUAUUAGGGAAGAACAAAUGUGUAAGUAACUAUGCACGUCUUGACGGUACCUAAUCAGAAAGCCACGGCUAACUACGUG
rnacentral:rRNA from 1 species